UACGUAGGCAGCAAGCGUUGUUCGGAGUUACUGGGCGUAAAGGGUGCGUAGGCGGGUUUUUAAGUCAGGGGUGAAAUCCUGGAGCUCAACUCCAGAACUGCCUUUGAUACUGAAGAUCUUGAGUCCGGGAGAGGUGAGUGGAACUGCGAGUGUAGAGGUGAAAUUCGUAGAUAUUCGCAAGAACACCGGUGGCGAAGGCGGCUCACUGGCCCGGUACUGACGCUGAGGCACGAAAGCGUGGGGAGCAAACAGG
rnacentral:rRNA from 1 species